GCCCGCGGUAGAGCAGCCCGGUCAGCUCGCCUGCUUCAUGUGCAGGAGGUCGCCGGUUCAAAUCCGGCCCGCGGCA
rnacentral:tRNA from 1 species